rnacentral:pre_miRNA from 1 species
CAACAACUCCCACUGUCCAAAAUUUCUUGUCUUAGAUUUGUCUAGAUACAGAUGUAUCUAAUACUAAAAUGUGACUUGAUACAUCCGUAUCUAGACAAAUCUAAGACAAGAAUUUUGGGACGGAGGGAGUACUUU